rnacentral:lncRNA from 1 species
CCCUCCUUCCCGUGGAACUAAGCCGGAGACGUGCGGCUGGGCUCGCAGGAAUCCCUUUAGAUGUCUUUUUUAUCCAUGAGACUUAACACUUUAAUUCGUUGUCUAUCAUCGCUUUGCCUGUCUUUAGAGCCCUCCCUGUUCAAGUGUCCUCCUCCAGAAACCUCCCUCCCCAAGAAGCAGGUACAAGACUCUUGGUCACUGGCCUCAACCCUCUAGACAUCAGGAGUGGCAAAGCCUCACAGAACACAGCAUCCCCGGAUGACGAACAGCUCUUUCUAUCAUGGCCUGUGCACCCUGGAGGAGAAAGAAUCAACUCCUGAGAACCAGCUUGUCCCUUAAGUAAAAAGGACUUCUACCAUCUCAUAGAACCAACACUGAGAGGAUGAUAACCAGACCACACUUGCCCAGGUCUGCUGGAAUUUUCCUAUCUCCCGCCCUCAAUCUCAAUUCUAAUUCUAUUUAAAUCUAAAGUAAGUUUCCCCAAAGACAGAUUUGGGAUCAGUAAACACCUUAUGUGUUUCUCUUUACAAUGUUCACAUCGAUGAAAUCUUUGUGUGUUGUUGUUCUCCUUUUCCUCCCCUUCUUCCUUCUUCCUCCUCCUCCUUCUUUCUUCUCCUCCUCCUCCCCCCACCUCUAUCUCCUUCUUCAUUUGUGUCUUUGUUGGGUAUAUUGAAGACUAGUGAUGAAGCCUGAAUUAGUGGAGAUGCAAAAGCCAACAUUUUGGCCCUAAACACAUGGGUUACAGAUACAGGGGUGUAGUUUGAUGGAAUAACUUUGUGUAUGUUACUGGAAUUGAAAUUAAACCCUGGGCCUUAUACACCAGUCUCCCCCCUCCCCCCUUUUCUCUCUUUCUUCCUUUCUUCUUUCUUUCUUUCUUUCUUUCUUUCUUUCUUUCUUUCUUUCUUUCUUUCUUUCUUUCUGUGUGUGAGAGAGACAGGGUUUCACUGUAGCCGUGGCUGUCCUGGAACUCACUCUGUAGACCAGGCUGGCCUCGAACUCAGAAAUCUGCCUGCCUCUGCCUCCCGAGUGCUGGGAUUAAAGGCAUGUGCUACCACUCCCAGGUCACGCUCACACCCUCCGCGCCCCCCCACCCCACCCCAUUUCUAAAGAUAAUCAGGUAAGACUAAAUGUGGCCUGACUGUUUACAGAAGUGUAGCAAGAGUGGUUGCCUGUCCAUGGGCUCACUUUAAGUAUUUGUUGGAAUUCUUCAUAUGAAAUGUGAGGCUAGGGGGGUGUGUGUGUGUGUACGUGUGUGUACGUGUGUGUGUGUGUGUGUGUGUGUGUGCUCGCACGCGCGUCUCUGUUAACUGAGCAAUCUCUCAGGUCACAGAAAGAAUUUUGAAAGCGCCUCGAGGAUGGGAAGACAAGCCAUCAUGGAGGAUAGACUGUGAACUGGCUGAACUCUUCUGCCUUAGGGGAUCUUCCAAACAGUCGUGAGCUUUAGGAGUGCCAGAAAGUGAUGUUGGUCACUUACCUGGAAGGCAGGGCACAUUUGAAAGCAAGCAUCAGGCCAGUUACUCAAUCCUAGCUCCUUAAAUCUGCAGGAAAAGGUUGUCAUCAUGAUAGGAAUGAGACCAAGUUCUACUUUUGUAUCAAUGUAUUUUUAUAAUAAAGCUUAUUGUAAAGCAAGUCUCCUAAGUGCGUUUCAGUUUAGCUUGAUCUCACUUUUCUCUCUCUACAACUCUAUAUCAUCUUAGGUAUGAUCUGUUUGUUUUCAAAUUAUGUCCUUCAGCCUCUCCUUUCAGUAGGAAACAGCCUGCAGUGUGAACCACCAACCCAGCUUAGGAAAUUAUUUAUAAGUAGACAUAUUGUACAACAAUCAAAGCUGAAAUUAUUGUUUAUGUACUUUUGUCUAGUUAUUCACUUGUUUGUAACAAUUGUAGUUGGUUUACCAAUAAAAAUCUCAAGAUAUCAAACAC